GGUAGUAGCAAAUACUCAAAGGAGAACUUUGAAGGCCUAAGUGGAGAAGGGUUCCAUGUUAACAGCAGUUGAACAUGGGACAGUGGGUCCUGCGAGAUGGGCAGAGACGAUCGAGCGCCA
rnacentral:ncRNA from 1 species